rnacentral:rRNA from 1 species
AUUGAACGCUGGCGGCAGGCCUAACACAUGCAAGUCGAGCGGAUGAAGGGAGCUUGCUCCUGGAUUCAGCGGCGGACGGGUGAGUAAUGCCUAGGAAUCUGCCUGGUAGUGGGGGAUAACGUCCGGACACGGGCGCUAAUACCGCAUACGUCCUGAGGGAGAAAGUGGGGGAUCUUCGGACCUCACGCUAUCAGAUGAGCCUAGGUCGGAUUAGCUAGUUGGUGGGGUAAAGGCCUACCAAGGCGACGAUCCGUAACUGGUCUGAGAGGAUGAUCAGUCACACUGGAACUGAGACACGGUCCAGACUCCUACGGGAGGCAGCAGUGGGGAAUAUUGGACAAUGGGCGAAAGCCUGAUCCAGCCAUGCCGCGUGUGUGAAGAAGGUCUUCGGAUUGUAAAGCACUUUAAGUUGGGAGGAAGGGCAGUAAGUUAAUACCGUGCUGUUUUGACGUUACCAACAGAAUAAGCACCGGCUAACUUCGUG